rnacentral:lncRNA from 1 species
CACAGGUAAAUCACGGUUUUGACUGCACUGGGCAUUUUAAGUACCUUACUGUGAUUAUAUUUUACCAUUUUAAUUUAAACCAACAAAAAUAGCUUCUUAGCAAAGAACAAUUUCUCAAGCAAGAAUUUUGCUAGGACUGAGAGUGGUCAGGGGGUGGGGAAACUGAAAAGUAGAUGUUAUUGGCAGAGAGGUUUGGAACUCAUCGUAAAAUAGCUAGGUGGGACAACCACAUAUCACAGUCAUACGACUCUCAGACUUCACCCCGUACACCAUGAAUAUAACAGGAAACCUGUUUGAUCACCAUGUACUGCAAAAUCAUUCUGGCUAUGGAUACGGAGAACAUCAACACAUUAACACAUCAGAGGAUAUUCCCAUUGGACUCGGGGCUCUGCUGGGAGUUUGUCAGAAGGAUCCAGUUGACCUUGACUGGAAGCUCAGGGGCUGAAAUUUGUGAAGAAGCACCAGAAGCUGCUCAACAUCCAGAUCCCAGAAAUGUCUAUAGUCAUGAUCCUCUGCAGCAUCCCGGGGGUUGUCAUCAGCUGCAUGCAGAUGUUUCUUCUUCUUUUUUUUCAUCUUCUUCUUCUACUUUUCUGUCUAUUUGCAUGGAUGUUGUAUUGUUUCCUAUGCAGACUUUCAACAGGUUCUGUGGUGGCACAGGACUAAAUCUUGAGCCGUUGUCAGAGGAAGAAAUUGGGAAGACCUCUGCAGACAUUAAUUCCACAGGAAAAAGGGAGGAUAACAAGUGGUUUCUACAGAAAACCCCAGAAAAACUCACAAUUCUUCCUGGGAAGCUGUUUGUCUUUUAAUACUAUAUGCCUGGGCAGUCGGAUGAGUCCUCAACCAUGUGGAUGACUGAUGAUGUCCUGCUAACUACUAAAUACAAAAGCUAUUGAAUGUUGCACGAGCAUCCAAAACUCUGAUCCACAAGUUGUUUGAAGGCGCACCUUGCGGUGUGCCUUUACCGGCGUGAAAUCGUAUGAUCUUCAAGUACAUUGUGGAUCUCAACGUUCCCUGGGAUGAGUUGGUUCCUAGCAUUGAGAGUCUCAUACACAAAGGUCUGCUCUCACCUUUAACCCAUGGAGUGCAGCAAGCAUCCAUACACUUUUCAAAUCGUACCAUUCAAGAGUAUUAAGUUCAUGUUCAGGUUUAUUUACCGUAUGUAAUACAUAGGGUACACUGGAAAUCAUACUCAUCAGAGCUCUCACAUUAAAAACAACAGCAUUAAAAGUUUAGUGAUUUUUUUUCUUCUCCAGUAGACUUAAAUAGCUAGCCGGCUACCACCCGGUUACUCAACCCUGCACCUUAGAGGCUGCUGCCCUAUGUACAUAGACAUGGAAUCACUGGUCACUUUAAUAAUUGAACACUAGUCACUUUAAUAAUGCUUACAUACUGCUAUACUCAUUUCAUGUGUAUAUACACUGUAUUCUAAUCUACUGUAUUUUAGUCAAUGUCACUCCGACAUUGCUCGUCCUAAUAUUUAUAUUUCAUUCCAUUAUUUUACUUUUAGAUAUGUGUAAUGUUGUGAAUUGUUAGAUACUACUGCACUGUUGGAGCUAGAAACACAAGCAUUUCGCUACACCCGCAAUAACAUCUGCUAAAUAUCUGUAUGUGAGCAAUAAAAUUUGAUGUGAUUUGAGUUUCAACAAGCACUUUGUCACUCCCACUGCCAGCCAUGCUGCCCCUGUCCCCUUUUGAGUUCUCCCUCAGAGCACCCCCCGCUUCUCCUUCCAGCCAGGACAGGAGAAUGAAGUGCUGUAAUCUGGACCCUUACAAAUCACCUGCGCUCCAUGAUCUGGACCCCUUCUUUCUGAAGCUGUCUUCCAUCAUCAUCUCAGCUCCUAUCCCUUGCCUCUUCAACCUCUCCUUACAAACAUCUGAAGUCCCACAGGAUUGGAAAGCUGC